rnacentral:rRNA from 1 species
UACGUAGGGUGCAAGCGUUAAUCGGAAUUACUGGGCGUAAAGCGUGCGCAGGCGGUUUUGUAAGACAGUGGUGAAAUCCCCGGGCUCAACCUGGGAACUGCCAUUGUGACUGCAAGGCUAGAGUGCGGCAGAGGGGGAUGGAUUCCGCGUGUAGCAGUGAAAUGCGUAGAUAUGCGGAGGAACACCGAUGGCGAAGGCAAUCCCCUGGGCCUGCACUGACGCUCAUGCACGAAAGCGUGGGGAGCAAACA